GUGUGGCAACCCACUCUAGUAUUCUUGCCUGGAGAAUCCCAUGGACAGAGGAGACUGGCGGGCUGCCAUCCACGGGGUCUUGCACAGAGUCGGACACAUUAAGCAGCAGCAGCAGUCACUUUCUUUCAUCGUUUCAUUGGAUUGUCCAAAAUGAGCAUGAUCCCACGUGACAAAGCGGGAAUGAGGAUUCGGGGAGGCUGAGACAUGAGUCAUGAGCACACGUGCAAAGCUGGUAACUGCAGCGCCUGGACUGGAACCCAGGCCCACAUUGCAGCCAGAAUGUCCCUCUGCCAACCCCCGAGGUCCUAGAAGUGAGACCAUGUAUGUGGGGACAAUGACCAGCUGGAAGGAGGAAAGUGUGAGUCAGAGAGGUGAGCUGGGCCCCCUUCGCCCAGAGCGCUGACCACACAGUCACAAUGGGGCUAACUCCUUGUCGAUUCCAAGAAACUGGAUCUUCCAUCGGCAGUGUGCCAAUGAAAGGAAAGAAGCGUUCGAGGCAGACCAGAGCCAGAAGCAGCCUCAGAUUCCACAUAUAAGUGAUAUCAUGUGAUAUUCGUCUCUGUCUGACUUCACUCAAUAUGACCAUCUCUCCAAAUGGCGUUAUUUUGUUUUUACGGCUGAGCCAGGAAUUUCACAGGGGACAUACCACACCAGAUCAAGCCUGAUCUUGAACCUCAGAUCCUUAGAUGACCCUCAGGCAGCUGGGCAAGCUGAGCGGAGAGGAGCCCGGUCGUCUCGUGGGGUGUCUCCCCUCUGCUCUCUGCAGGAGCUGCACCGCCAUGGAAGGAACAAUGAGGGACCCCCAAUCCCACCCCCACCUUACAAAGAGAGCUGGGAGCAGUGAGCCGUGGUGAGCAGGGGUCAGAUGCAGGCAUAGCUUCCACGGGACUGUGUUUGCCUCCCAGCUCUGCCCCUUGGGAAGCCACGAGGCUGCAGGCUGUUUGUUGACCUCUCCAAGCCUCUUUCUUCAUGUGCAGAAGGACAGGGUGGCCCCCACCCGCUGGGUUUUCUAUACGGAUUCAACCAGCUAAUGCCCACCAUGCAUGUGGCAUGGGAAAGCACUUAGGAACCAACUCCACAUCAGAUCUAGAUCUGUAAAGUCCAAGGCGGCAAAAUGGCAACCUGGUUUCUUUGCCUGCCCCACGUCUAAUGUCCUGUAGGGGCAAGCCUUUCUACUCCCGAACCUCCUCCUUUGGGCCAGAGAGGUAUAAACAGGGUCAUCCAAGUCACCGUGAUUGACAAGCUUUCAGAUGUGCCAGCCGAUUAACCUCGACCUGCAGCCACGAGGAAACCUGUCCCACGUUGAAGCAAGAGACGAUCUCCGAUAACAUCUCCGUAUUGCAAACUGACCUGAUGCCACCUCCGUGUUGGAAACUGCACGGGCAAGCAGCUUACAGCUCCACCAAAUAAACUGGCUUUUCCGCUGGCAAAAGGACCUCUCCUUUUAAACUUUUCUCUGUCUUUUCCUAAGGGGAGUGUAUGUGAGUGACAAUUGUAUUCGGGUGGGAUAAAAUUGCACCCGCAGCAGAAGCUGAGGCCUUAGCUCUGAUUUUAAUGAACAGAAACCCAGGAUAACACAUUGUGAAGCCCUCAUGUCAUCUUUCACCUCUCAUUCCUUCCAUCCCUUCUGCCCUUCCCUUUUCCUUACUCAGGCCUUUUCCUCCCCUGUCUUCCUCCCCCGACCCUAGCCACUUCUCACACAAAAGUUGAAGGGGGAAAAUUACGAACUGGCAGCUACGGCAAUUGCCAUGAAAAUCCAGUGCAAUAUAUCUUGUCAAAAAAUCAGCCUGCACGUUAAAAAAGAAGAAAGCCAAACUCAAGACUCAGAAGAACAUGAAGCCUUUCCAGAUUCUCAUUCACUUUUUUUUCCUAUUUAAAUUUCUUCACGUUUCUUUUUUUAACCUCUCCUGCAGGUCUUGAUAAUAUAUAGGACAAAAACACACACAAACACACACACAUACACACACACACACAUAUACACACACCCUGCUCACUUCCUCACUCUGUCAUUUAAAGUACGAAGAAAGUAGCAAAGAAAAAUCUAUUUUCAGCUCUUUUGCAAUGGAACACUUUUCCCCACGGUGAUGAAAAAAAGUGGAUUUUGAAGAAAGUCAAGUCACUGAUGGAGACAAGGAAACAUUUAUGACCAGCCAUCUGUUCAUGGCAAUGAAGUCCUGCCCAUAUCAAGUUAUUUCUUCUCACAUAACUAAUAUGUAAGGACUAAAGAGAUGUGUGUACACAGCAUCUACACUUUUGUACAUCUGAAAAAUAAAAAUGACAGGGAACUGUAUUCAGUAUCCUGUGAUCAUCCAUAAUGGGAAAGAAUAUGUAAAAAAAGAAUACGUAUGUAUAUCACUGAGUCACUUAGUUAGCACAACGUUGUAAAUCAACUAUGCUUCAAUAAAAUUUUAAAAAUA